rnacentral:rRNA from 1 species
AGAGUUUGAUCCUGGCUCAGAUUGAACUUUGGCGGCAGGCCUAACACAUGCAAGUCGAACGGUAACAGGAAGAAGCUUGCUUCUUUGCUGACGAGUGGCGGACGGGUGAGUAAUGUCUGGGAAACUGCCUGAUGGAGGGGGAUAACUACUGGAAACGGUAGCUAAUACCGCAUAACGUCGCAAGACCAAAGAGGGGGACCUUCGGGCCUCUUGCCAUCGGAUGUGCCCAGAUGGGAUUAGCUAGUAGGUGGGGUAACGGCUCACCUAGGCGACGAUCCCUAGCUGGUCUGAGAGGAUGACCAGCCACACUGGAACUGAGACACGGUCCAGACUCCUACGGGAGGCAGCAGUGGGGAAUAUUGCACAAUGGGCGCAAGCCUGAUGCAGCCAUGCCGCGUGUAUGAAGAAGGCCUUCGGGUUGUAAAGUACUUUCAGCGGGGAGGAAGGGAGUAAAGUUAAUACCUUUGCUCAUUGACGUUACCCGCAGAAGAAGCACCGGCUAACUCCGUGCCAGCAGCCGCGGUAAUACGGAGGGUGCAAGCGUUAAUCGGAAUUACUGGGCGUAAAGCGCACGCAGGCGGUUUGUUAAGUCAGAUGUUGAAAUCCCCGGGCUCAACCCUGGGAACUGCUUCUGAUACUGGCAAGCUUGAGUCUCGUAGAGGGGGGUAGAAUUCCAGGUGUAGCGGUGAAAUGCGUAGAGAUCUGGAGGAAUACCGGUGGCGAAGGCGGCCCCCUGGACGAAGACUGACGCUCAGGUGCGAAAGCGUGGGGAGCAAACAGGAUUAGAUACCUUGGUAGUCCACGCCGUAAACGAUGUCGACUUGGAGGUUGUGCCCUUGAGGCGUGGCUUCCGGAGCUAACGCGUUAAGUCGACCGCCUGGGGAGUACGGCCGCAAGGUUAAAACUCAAAUGAAUUGACGGGGGCCCGCACAAGCGGUGGAGCAUGUGGUUUAAUUCGAUGCAACGCGAAGAACCUUACCUGGUCUUGACAUCCACGGAAGUUUUCAGAGAUGAGAAUGUGCCUUCGGGAACCGUGAGACAGGUGCUGCAUGGCUGUCGUUAGCUCGUGUUGUGAAAUGUUGGGUUAAGUCCCGCAACGAGCGCAACCCUUAUCCUUUGUUGCCAGCGGUCCGGCCGGGAACUCAAAGGAGACUGCCAGUGAUAAACUGGAGGAAGGUGGGGAUGACGUCAAGUCAUCAUGGCCCUUACGACCAGGGCUACACACGUGCUACAAUGGCGCAUACAAAGAGAAGCGACCUCGCGAGAGCAAGCGGACCUCAUAAAGUGCGUCGUAGUCCGGAUUGGAGUCUGCAACUCGACUCCAUGAAGUCGGAAUCGCUAGUAAUCGUGGAUCAGAAUGCCACGGUGAAUACGUUCCCGGGCCUUGCACACACCGCCCGUCA